rnacentral:rRNA from 1 species
GCAUAUCAAUAAGCGGAGGAAAAGAAACCAACAGGGAUUACCUCAGUAACGGCGAAGUGAAGCGGUAACAGCUCAAAUUUGAAAAGCUGGCUCUUUUAGGGUUCGCAUUGUAAUUUGUAGAAGAUGCUUCGGGUGUGGCCCCGGUCUAAGUUCCUUGGAACAGGACGUCGUAGAGGGUGAGAAUCCCGUAUGUGACUGGGUGCUUUCGCUCAUGUGAAGCUCUUUCGACGAGUCGAGUUGUUUGGGAAUGCAGCUCAAAAUGGGUGGUAAAUUUCAUCUAAAGCUAAAUAUUGGCCAGAGACCGAUAGCGCACAAGUAGAGUGAUCGAAAGAUGAAAAGCACUUUGGAAAGAGAGUUAAACAGUACGUGAAAUUGUUGAAAGGGAAGCGCUUGCAAUCAGACUUGCGCGCUGAUGAUCAUCCGGGCUUCUGCCCGGUGCACUCGUCUGCGCUCAGGCCAGCAUCGGUUUUGGUGGUGGGAUAAAGGCCUUGGGAAUGUAGCUCCUCUCGGGGAGUGUUAUAGCCCUCGGUGCAAUGCCGCCUACCGGGACCGAGGACCGCGCUUCGGCUAGGAUGCUGGCGUAAUGGUUGUAAGCGACCCGUCUUGAAACACGGACCAAGGAGUCUAACAUCUAUGCGAGUGCUUGGGUGCCAAACCCAUACGCGUAAUGAAAGUGAACGGAGGUGAGAACCCUUAAGGGUGCAUCAUCGACCGAUCCUGAUGUCUUCGGAUGGAUUUGAGUAAGAGCAUAGCUGUUGGGACCCGAAAGAUGGUGAACUAUGCGUGAAUAGGGGUGAAGCCAGAGGAAACUCUGGUGGAGGCUCGCAGCGGUUCUGACGUGCAAAUCGAUCGUCAAAUUUGCGUAUAGGGGCGAAAGACUAAUCGAACCAUCUAGUAGCUGGGUUCCUGC